rnacentral:ncRNA from 1 species
AUUUUUGAGGAAAAAUUUGGACUGAUUGCAACCUCAUUGGACUCUUGUUCAGAAUAAAAAUGCUAAAGCAGUAAUU